rnacentral:pre_miRNA from 1 species
AGGAAAUAUGAGAUGUGACUAUAAAGUCAUGAAACUGAUUUUCCCAUGUGGCUUGUGGGAUUUCCCUGAUUACUUUUUAGUCAGGCCUUGUAUAGCU